UACGGAGGGUGCGAGCGUUGUUCGGAAUCACUGGGCGUAAAGGGCGUGUAGGCGGUCCGCUAAGUCUGAUGUGAAAGCCCGGGGCUCACCCCCGGAAGUGCAUUGGAAACUGGCGAACUCGAGUCCCGGAGAGGAGAGUGGAAUUCCUGGUGUAGCGGUGAAAUGCGCAGAUAUCAGGAAGAACACCAAUGGCGAAGGCAGCUCUCUGGGACGGUACUGACGCUGAGACGCGAAAGCGUGGGGAGCGAACAGG
rnacentral:rRNA from 1 species